UAGGGAAUCUUCCGCAAUGGACGAAAGUCUGACGGAGCAACGCCGCGUGAGUGAUGAAGGUUUUCGGAUCGUAAAACUCUGUUGUUAGGGAAGAACAAGUAUGAGAGUAACUGCUCAUACCUUGACGGUACCUAACCAGAAAGCCACGGCUAACUACGUGCCAGCAGCCGCGGUAAUACGUAGGUGGCAAGCGUUGUCCGGAAUUAUUGGGCGUAAAGCGCGCGCAGGCGGUCCUUUAAGUCUGAUGUGAAAGCCCACGGCUCAACCGUGGAGGGUCAUUGGAAACUGGGGGACUUGAGUGCAGGAGAGAAGAGUGGAAUUCCACGUGUAGCGGUGAAAUGCGUAGAGAUGUGGAGGAACACCAGUGGCGAAGGCGACUCUUUGGCCUGUAACUGACGCUGAGGCGCGAAAGCGUGGGGAGCAAACAGG
rnacentral:rRNA from 1 species